AGGCUCCUCCCCCGGGUGUGGCCUCCGGGCGGCAUGGCUGCUUCCCAGGUGAUGCCGGCUUCAGCUAGUGGGGUCUAGUUGACCGUUCCGCAGCCGCCAGGGCCAGCGGAAAGCCGGUCAGGGGGAACCGCGGCGGGGCUGGUGUCAUGAGCCUGAGGUGAACUUGAGGGUGCCUCCUCAGCGGUCUCCCGCCCUGCCCUGAGGGGCGCCGGGACCCCAAAGAGCGGAGGAAGAGCGCCACCCCGACGGCCACCGCUUCGGAGCCAGCACGCGGGGUACCCUACGGGGAGCGCGGAUGCCCCCGUGUUCGGGCGGGGACGGCUCCACCCCUCCUGGGCCCUCCCUUCGGGACAGGGACUGUCCCGCCCAGAGUGCUGAAUACCCGCGCGACCGUCUGGAUCCCCGCCCAGGAAGCCCCUCUGAAGCCUCCUCGCCGCCGUUUCUGAGAAGGGCACCUGUUAACUGGUACCAAGAAAAGGCCCAAGUGUUUCUCUGGCAUCUGAUGGUGUCUGGAUCCACCACUCUACUCUGUCUCUGGAAACAGCCCUUCCACGUCUCUGCAUUCCCUGUCACCGCGUCACUGGCCUUCAGACAG
rnacentral:lncRNA from 1 species